CGUUCUAUGGCCGAAAUGGUAAAGGCACCGCCGAUCACAGGCGAGGUUGUGGGUUCGAGUCCCGCUGGAACGA
rfam:Operophtera brumata OBRT01_Sc04692, whole genome shotgun sequence.